rnacentral:rRNA from 1 species
CCUACGGGUGGCAGCAGUGCGGAAUAUUGGUCAAUGGACGAGAGUCUGAACCAGCCAAGUAGCGUGAAGGAUGACUGCCCUAUGGGUUGUAAACUUCUUUUAUAUGGGAAUAAAAUGUUCCACGUAUGGGAUUUUUUAUGUUCCAUAUGAAUAAGGAUCGGCUAACUCCGUGCCCGCCGCCGCGGUAAUACGGAGGAUCCGAGCGUUAUCCGGAUUUAUUGGGGUUAAAGGGAGCGUAGGUGGAUUGUUAAGUCAGUUGGGAAAGUUUGCGGCUCAACCGUAAAAUUGCAGGUGACACUGGCAGUCUUGAGUACAGUAGAGGUGGGCGGAAUUCGUGGUGUAGCGGUGAAAUGCUUAGAUAUCACGAAGAACUCCGAUUGCGAAGGCAGCUCACUGGACUGCAACUGACACUGAGGCUCGAAAGUGUGGGUAUCAAACAGGAUUAGAUACCCCUGUAGUC